rnacentral:lncRNA from 1 species
GUCUCAGGUGUCAUAUAAAUAGAGCGGGACGGAAAUACUUCGGUUUGCCCCGGCGGCCGUCCCGUGGCGUCGCAUCGGCUGGCUGCCCUUACAGAACGAGAAGUCCACAAAGCGGUUGCGAACAGACUGCCAUUAGUAUGCAUCAGUGUGCCACGGUCCUACUGCAGUGUGCCAGAGUAUUUUGGUCGGACUUUCGGUCAACCUGCUGGUCUCCUCAGAGUAUGCCGUUGGCUGACCAGUAUGCCCCCAGUCCAUCCAGUCCGCUCACCACUGGGCAUCAACCUAGUCAACCCCCAGUCUGCCUCGGUGGACUAGUCGGACUCUUCCCAAACUCUUUGAAUCUAGGGAAGAGAGCCGCGAUAGAGUUAUAAGUUAAAUAUUUAGAAAUGGUCAGAUUGAAAAAAAACUCUGACAGAAAUUAAAAAUAAUUAAUAAUCGGCUUUUUUCGCCUUUCCGCCGUGUCGGUAGGCAACCCAUCAACCUUCGUGGGUUCAUUACUUGUGGCCGUUGUUGUAAUCGCAAAGGUGCGCGAUGAACAGAAAACAUCUAUGCAAGUGUCGUCCAAAUCGCAAAAAGGGGACGUUUUUUGGGUUUUUUUUUGGAUGUUUUGUGGUCGAUGGAAUUUAAAAAGGUAAACACUUUAAACGUCGCGCGUCGUCUGCUGAGUGCGAUCUCUCGAAAUCGAUUCACUCUUACCAACUUUGGUGCCUGACCAAUCUCGUCGAAGGCGCUUUGGGAAGGUCGUUUACUGCCUGUAUGUUGGCAGUCGUACAAAAACAUAAGUAGAGAGGUUAGUUUUCCUUCUGCUUCCUUCGUGCUGUUUCGUACUCCCUUAGAAGUUUGUGUCACUGGCUUUGCAUAACUCGCAGUCGCCUUUGAGUAUGAAUUUUUCGCCGUAUUUCUUUGCCGUCACUUAUUUGCACCGCCCUUGACUGGAAGCGAAGCGUGUUUCAGUGCCUAGGCACCUUUCAAUGAAAGCGUUUGCACCAAACAUCCACUGUAAAGUUUCAUGCUUAUUCAAUUUGUGAUUAUUUUUCCAAGAUACAAAUGCUUUGAAUUUUAUAUUAUUUGACAUGUUUGAGUUGCUACCUUUCAGCUGCUUUCAGCUUGACACACUCUCACACAGCUUUAUGGAUCAACAAUUGUCAACUCUAUGGUGAAGAGGCCCCAGCACACUGUGAUGUUAGAUAUCCUGCUCUGCUAGAGAGAAUUCACACGAUGGAGGGACUCCAACUCCAACCUCGCAGUGGAUCUACUUUCGGAAUCAAACGUCUAUUUUGAGGUCCAUGUCCUGUGCUGAAAUUCAAAGGGGGAUUCUUCACGGAAGAGAUGUCAUAAAGAUGAUUCAAUAAUUUUGUGUCACUUUAUUGAAUGUGUUUAAUUGUAACACUUGUUUCUGUUGUCAAUAUUUUAAAAUUUCAAUUUUUCGAUUUUACUGAACAUUAAAUAUGUUAAAAGACA